rnacentral:lncRNA from 1 species
UUUACGUGCAUGCUUCAAGAUAUAUCCAUUAAGCAAUGUGAACGUGUGUGAAGCGAUCUCAUCCCAAAAAAAAAAAAUAUAUAUACAAAAGUGAGACAUUGGAAAAUAGAGGAUGUGUGGCCAACAAUGAUAUUAGGACAGCAUAUUUUUAGAAGCAAGCAAACAUUGGAAGUUAGAAACUCUUCCUAUCUUUGUGGAUCAAACAACAGACAAUUCCCCUCCCCUUUCAAUAGCUGACACUAUAAAUUGGUAAUGCUAACAUGUCUCCCAUUACAAUACAACACUCAGUUUUCACACACAUCACAC